UAUGAAAAUUUUCAUCCAUUUGUAUUAUUAAAAACUAGUGUGAUUGACAAAAUAAUCAAACAAUGACACGUGAUGAGUUACAUAUAUCUUAUGCUGAUAUAUAAUGACCAAUUUUUAAUAGCAAAAAAUGGAUGAAAUUUUGAAUA
rnacentral:pre_miRNA from 1 species